GACGAACGCUGGCGGCGUGCUUAACACAUGCAAGUCGAACGGAAAGGCCCUGCUUUUGUGGGGUGCUCGAGUGGCGAACGGGUGAGUAACACGUGAGUAACCUGCCCUUGACUUUGGGAUAACUUCAGGAAACUGGGGCUAAUACCGGAUAGGAGCUCCUGCUGCAUGUGGGGGGUUGGAAAGUUUCGGCGGUUGGGGAUGGACUCGCGGCUUAUCAGCUUGUUGGUGGGGUAGUGGCUUACCAAGGCUUUGACGGGUAGCCGGCCUGAGAGGGUGACCGGCCACAUUGGGACUGGGGUACGGCCCAGACUCCUACGGGAGGCAGCAGUGGGGAAUAUUGCACAAUGGGCGGAAGCCUGAUGCAGCAACGCCGCGUGCGGGAUGACGGCCUUCGGGUUGUAAACCGCUUUCGCCUGUGACGAAGCGUGAGUGACGGUAAUGGGUAAAGAAGCACCGGCUAACUACGUG
rnacentral:rRNA from 1 species